rnacentral:lncRNA from 1 species
UUAAUAGAAAUGAAAUUUCAAAACUACAAGGCUGGGCUUUUUGAGAAUACUAAUGCAGAGUGGCAUUCGUUUGCAUUAUGACUAUAACAGUAGUAAUUGCAGAGAAAGUGCUAAUUUUUUCAUCAUUGUUUUAAACUUGCUUAUAUAAUAUUGUAUUUUAUAUUACAAAGUGAAACUAUUUCCAAGGUGAUUAACUGAACUACCUGAUCUCUUUGUUCUUUGAAUUCUAUUAGAUAACACUGUUUUUUGUUAUAAUCUGCCUCACUCUGAAACCUUCUACCCUUUAUACUGCUACAACCAGGUGGCAGCCUGUACAGUGAUCUUCCUUUCCCUGAAAAUCCACAGGGGCAACGAGCCCAACUAGCAACAUUCAAUAUCUGGGCUUCACCUUGACCCAGAAAAUGCAAAUCAAACUAUGCUGAAAGCUUCAUACAAAGGAACUGAAAAGUUGAACAGUUCUCCCUUCCAGCCAAGGGCAGAAAUGAGGAACCUGCCAGAUCGGAGAGUUCCCAAAUCUAAUCACCAUUUAUGCUAGAAUUCCUUCAGCUGCAAAUAAUGCAGGGUCUCAUCUUAGCAGUGACAAGAUAUCUGCCAGCAGCACCAGGCCUACAUCUUCCCAGCUUUAAAUUCAGUGAAAAGACAGGAUCUCUUUCUAAAGCACUGCAAUAAAAUUUCCAGAAUGAAAACUCAUCAGCUUAAUUGGCCUCUGUUGGUUAUCUGCCCAUUUGUGAACCAAUCACUGUGGUCUGAGAGGUGCAAGGACUCCUCUGAUUGGCCUGGCCUGGGCCAUUUGCCCACUUCCGGCAUCAGAAGGAAGGACAGUUUCAAAAGGCAAACUGGGUGUUGCUACAGGAGAGCAUUCAGGCAAACCACAGCCAAUCUCAGGACUCUCCUUGUUCUGCCUUGUCUUCAAAUCCUCUUGCACAUUUUUCCAGCCUCGGACCCGCUGUGCCUCACCAUGUUCAUCUAGCAUAGGACCCUCAAUACAUUUCUCUGACACAGGGAAAACCCAUUUGGUGUAGUGAAUGACCCUAGAGUCAAACAGCCUGGGUUCUAAUUCUGGCUCUAUCAUUUUAGCAAGCUGUAUAAUCUCUCCGUGCCUCAGUUUCCUCAUCAAAAAAAAAAAGGCAGGUGGGCUGGGAGCAGUGGCUCAUG